AAGCGAAUAGUGAAAUCCGACGGCUCAACCGUACGGACUAUUACUCGAACUGCUUGUCUCGAGAAUGGUAGAGGUAACUGGAAUUUCUAGUGUAGGAGUGAAAUCCGUAGAUAUUAGAAGGAACACCAAUGGCGUAGGCAGGUUACUGGACCAUUUCUGACACUGAGGCACGAAAGCGUGGGGAGCGAACCGGAUUAGAUACCCGGGUAGUCCACGCCGUAAACUAUGGAUACUA
rnacentral:rRNA from 1 species